rnacentral:rRNA from 1 species
UGGGCUUGACAUCCCACGAACCUGACCAAAGGGGGCGAGCGAAUCCCAAAAAGCCGGUCUCAGUUCGGAUUGUAGUCUGCAACUCGACUACAUGAAGUCGGAAUCGCUAGUAAUGGCGGAUCAGCAUGCCGCCGUGAAUACGUUCCCGGGCCUUGUACACACCGCCCGUCACAUCACGAAAGUCGGUUGCUCUUGAAGUCGCUGAGCUGACCCGCAAGGGAGGCAGGUGCCUACGGAGUGAUCGAUGAUUGGGGUGAAGUCGUAACAAGGUAGCUGUAGGAGAACCUGUGGCUGGAUCACCUCCUUUAUGUACUCGAAGUCGCUGAGAAUCUC